rnacentral:rRNA from 1 species
CACGUAGGGUGCGAGCGUUGUCCGGAAUUAUUGGGCGUAAAGAGCUCGUAGGCGGUGUGUCGCGUCGGCCGUGAAAACCUGCAGCUUAACUGUGGGCUUGCGGUCGAUACGGGCAUCACUGGAGUUCGGCAGGGGAGACUGGAAUUCCUGGUGUAGCGGUGAAAUGCGCAGAUAUCAGGAGGAACACCGGUGGCGAAGGCGGGUCUCUGGGCCGAUACUGACGCUGAGGAGCGAAAGCGUGGGGAGCGAACAAG